rnacentral:rRNA from 1 species
GACGAACGCUGGCGGCGUGCUUAACACAUGCAAGUCGAACGGAAAGGCCCUGCUUUUGUGGGGUGCUCGAGUGGCGAACGGGUGAGUAACACGUGAGUAACCUGCCCUUGACUUUGGGAUAACUUCAGGAAACUGGGGCUAAUACCGGAUAGGAGCUCCUGCUGCAUGGUGGGGGUUGGAAAGUUUCGGCGGUUGGGGAUGGACUCGCGGCUUAUCAGCUUGUUGGUGGGGUAGUGGCUUACCAAGGCUUUGACGGGUAGCCGGCCUGAGAGGGUGACCGGCCACAUUGGGACUGAGAUACGGCCCAGACUCCUACGGGAGGCAGCAGUGGGGAAUAUUGCACAAUGGGCGGAAGCCUGAUGCAGCAACGCCGCGUGCGGGAUGACGGCCUUCGGGUUGUAAACCGCUUUCGCCUGUGACGAAGCGUGAGUGACGGUAAUGGGUAAAGAAGCACCGGCUAGCUACGUGCCAGCAGCCGCGGUGAUACGUAGGGUGCGAGCGUUGUCCGGAUUUAUUGGGCGUAAAGGGCUCGUAGGUGGUUGAUCGCGUCGGAAGUGUAAUCUUGGGGCUUAACCCUGAGCGUGCUUUCGAUACGGGUUGACUUGAGGAAGGUAGGGGAGAAUGGAAUUCCUGGUGGAGCGGUGGAAUGCGCAGAUAUCAGGAGGAACACCAGUGGCGAAGGCGGUUCUCUGGGCCUUUCCUGACGCUGAGGAGCGGAAGCGUGGGGAGCGAACAGGCUUAGAUACCCCGGUAGUCCACGCUGUAAACGGUGGGUACUAGGUGUGGGGUCCAUUCCACGGGUUCCGUGCCGUAGCUAACGCUUUAAGUACCCCGCCUGGGGAGUACGGCCGCAAGGCUAAAACUCAAAGGAAUUGACGGGGCCCCGCACAAGCGGCGGAGCAUGCGGAUUAAUUCGAUGCAACGCGUAGAACCUUACCUGGGUUUGACAUGGAUCGGGAGUGCUCAGAGAUGGGUGUGCCUCUUUUGGGGUCGGUUCACAGGUGGUGCAUGGCUGUCGUCAGCUCGUGUCGUGAGAUGUUGGGUUAAGUCCCGCAACGAGCGCAACCCUUGUUCACUGUUGCCAGCACGUUAUGGUGGGGACUCAGUGGAGACCGCCGGGGUCAACUCGGAGGAAGGUGGGGAUGACGUCAAGUCAUCAUGCCCCUUAUGUCCAGGGCUUCACGCAUGCUACAAUGGCUGGUACAGAGAGUGGCGAGCCUGUGAGGGUGAGCGAAUCUCGGAAAGCCGGUCUCAGUUCGGAUUGGGGUCUGCAACUCGACCUCAUGAAGUCGGAGUCGCUAGUAAUCGCAGAUCAGCAACGCUGCGGUGAAUACGUUCCCGGG